UAUUAAUCUACAGACCUUGAUGACAAGCAAUGACAAGAGAGCUCAUUUUUAUGCUGUCGAGCUGGGGUUCACUGGGGUUCACAUCGAUGUAUAUACGACAUGGGGUGCAUUCCUUUAAUACAAAUUUUUUUUUCGUUUUGCAAUUUCGCCCUGUAAUACCGACUAAAAACUAGAAACAGAAACAACGACAAAAGUGAUAAAAUUCUCAAUUCCAUGCUCAAGGUUAUGUCAUAUAUAUUUAUGAAGAUCCAUUAUGAUGAAUCUCAAUAUGAACAACAUCGUCAGGAUGGCUCAAAAAAAAUUAAAACUAAAUGCAGUACCAACUUUGUUUGGUGAUGUUUUGAUAGAUUAUUCGAGUAAAAUCCACCAAAAUAAAAGUAACGUGUUACAUGAUGUUAGUUGGACUUCAUUUGAAUCACUAAAGCAGUUGUCAACAAUAAACUUAGGUAAAUCUUUUACCAGACCAUUGCUUGAUGUAAUUAUAGAUGAAUAUACCACUGACAACAAAAAGAGUUUAUUCAAGUUACCAAAGUCUAAUAAUACCAAAUCUUUACCAAGUGAUGAGCAGCAGAUUGAAUUGCCACUAGUAAACUUGGAUGAGGAUCAUUUAGUAUCAAUUUUUACUCAUAAUAUUUAUCCUGACACUUUCAACAGUUUUUCAUCAAUUCUUGCUGAUGAAUUACAAGCAAAAAUAAUGAAAAAAUAUAAUAAAGGAGUUAUUCAAUUUAAUUUCAUGCUUUAAAAUCAACAUCGUCUUAAUCACCAAGAAAUUUCGAGUUUAAACUAGGAAGUAGAAAGCUUAAAGAAAAUAAAUAUUAGUUUAGACUGUGAAUUACGAUUUGAAUAAGAAAAAAGGAUACAGAAAGACAACGAGAAAAAAUUAAAAACAAGUUUAACAAGCUUCUUAAUGUAUUCGAAAAAUUGUCCAUUUUUAAAAAACCUUUUAAUUGAGUUAUUUUAUUUACUUAUUUAUAGUAUGCGACAGGUAAAAGCCUACUGAAGCCAGAAAAAUAUAUUUUGUUGUCGGAUAAAAAAUUGUAUUCGAUUAUGUUAUUCUUAUAUUAAAAAAGAAAAAAUUAUAUUUUUCG
rnacentral:lncRNA from 1 species